rnacentral:lncRNA from 1 species
AGCUAGCACUAGUGUAACUGAACUAAAAAUAACUGUUGUAUUUUGUUUAAAUUGUUAAGUCUUUAAUUAAACAAUGAAUUCUUAGUUCUGUAUGUUAGCUGUGUUUGCUUUUGCCCUUUUGCCCAUGACAAAAUUUUGAAUGUAAUAGUGGAGGCUGAACGUGUUGAAGUAUGUCUCUCAUUUCAGGUAUUGUGAAGUAUCCCCUUUGGUCUCCAUCUAAUGUUACAAAAAAUGUAUUUUAUGAGUACAAUGUCAUAUCUGUCCAUCCUGUGCCUAUCACCUGGAUUCUCAGAUAAUCAAGCAGCAGAUGGCAAAACACUUUGGAAAAGGACUGUAUUUGUUUUGCACUUUAAAAAGUCAGUCUGAGGUCAAUGAAGAAAUUUUAACUGCCUACAUGAGCCUUUAGAUCAAGCAAUAUGCUUGAUCUAAAGAUUUACUUGUAAGCAUAUUGUCCGUGCUUAGCAAUAAAAUUGUAAACGAGAUCA